GAUGAACGCUGGCGGCGUGCCUAAUACAUGCAAGUCGAGCGAACAGACGAGGAGCUUGCUCCUCUGACGUUAGCGGCGGACGGGUGAGUAACACGUGGAUAACCUACCUAUAAGACUGGGAUAACUUCGGGAAACCGGAGCUAAUACCGGAUAAUAUAUUGAACCGCAUGGUUCAAUAGUGAAAGACGGUUUUGCUGUCACUUAUAGAUGGAUCCGCGCCGUAUUAGCUAGUUGGUAAGGUAACGGCUUACCAAGGCGACGAUGCGUAGCCGACCUGGGAGGGUGAUCGGCCACACUGGAACUGAGACACGGUCCAGACUCCUACGGGAGGCAGCAGUAGGGAAUCUUCCGCAAUGGGCGAAAGCCUGACGGAGCAACGCCGCGUGAGUGAUGAAGGUCUUUGGAUCGUAAAACUCUGUUAUUAGGGAAGAACAAAUGUGUAAGUAACUAUGCACGUCUUGACGGUACCUAAUCAGAAAGCCACGGCUAACUACGUG
rnacentral:rRNA from 1 species